AGAGACACAGUAGAGACCAGUGGAUUAUUAUCAGGGAGUGACUCAACAUAAAUAAACCUGGACAAACCAGUUGGUCUGGUCGGUACACUUCUUUACCUGCUGCUAGGAGAGAGGAGGAACGUAGAACUACUGAAACCUGACAACAGACAGAGGCCAGGUGAGGGUUUAGGGGGGGACAGGGAGACAGAGAGAGGCCAGGUGAGGGUAUAGGGGAGGACAGAGAGAGAGAGAGAGAGAGAGAGAGGCCAGGUGAGGGUAUAGGGGAGGACAGAGAGAGAGAGAGGCCAGGUGAGGGUAUAGGGGAGGACAGAGAGAGAGAGAGGCCAGGUGAGGGUAUAGGGGAGGACAGAGGAGUAAAUACAGGUCACCUUUGUAGUCCACCUGCCUCUCUCUCCCUGCCACUCCCCAGGAGUCAGGAAUGUUGUUUUCAUUCCAGCCAGGUAGAAAAGACAGGUGGAACAUAAUCUCUUCAGACCUGCUUAUUGUUUUGAAAGUUCAAAGUCUCCUACAAAAUAAAUAUAAUAUAAUCAUUUACGCCAUUUAGCAGACACUUUUAUCCAAGGUAAAUUACAGUAAUGCGUGCAUCCAUUUUAUUUAUUUUUUACAUAUGGGUGGUCCCUGGAAUCAAACCCACUAUCCUGGUAUUACAAGCACCAUGCUCUCCCACCUGAUCUCCAGAGGACCACGUAAAUCCAUACAUGUUGGAAUAAUGCAUCUUAACCAGCCAAGAAAACAUACAAGUACCUGAAACGUCACGGUCUCUCUGCACCUACUCAUUGGUUCUACCACUGCAGUGUUGGCAGACGAACAAACACACACCGCUGAGUUAAUCUCCUGGCCCCAAGUCCUACCCACUGUGGACUGGACCAAGGAGGGCUAGUAGUUAGCCUGUAAAUACUGGGAGGAAUGCAGGGUUCUCUGAAGCUGACAGGCUGCUCCAGCUUCAGGUCAGGGUUCAUCUCAGUACCCCAGGUCAGAGACCUACCAAUCCCCCCCACCACUAGAUACCUACCAAUCCCCCCCCACCA
ensembl:lncRNA